rnacentral:rRNA from 1 species
UAGGGAAUCUUCCGCAAUGGGCGAAAGCCUGACGGAGCAACGCCGCGUGAGUGAUGAAGGUCUUCGGAUCGUAAAACUCUGUUAUUAGGGAAGAACAUAUGUGUAAGUAACUGUGCACAUCUUGACGGUACCUAAUCAGAAAGCCACGGCUAACUACGUGCCAGCAGCCGCGGUAAUACGUAGGUGGCAAGCGUUAUCCGGAAUUAUUGGGCGUAAAGCGCGCGUAGGCGGUUUUUUAAGUCUGAUGUGAAAGCCCACGGNUCACCCGUGGAGGGUCAUUGGAAACUGGAAAAUUUGAGUGCAGAAGAGGAAAGUGGAAUUCCAUGUGUAGCGGUGAAAUGCGCAGAGAUAUGGAGGAACACCAGUGGCGAAGCCGACUUUCUGGUCUGUAACUGACGCUGAUGUGCGAAACGCGUNGGGGAUCAAACAGGAUUAGAUACCCUGGUAGUCCACGCCGUAAACGAUGAGUGCUAAGUGUUAGGGGGUUUCCGCCCCUUAGUGCUGCAGCUAACGCAUUAAGCACUCCGCCUGGGAGUACGACCGCAAGUU